rnacentral:rRNA from 1 species
GUCUGCUUGUAAAUAUAACCAGUCUAGCCUGCCCACUGAACCUUAAAGGGCCGCGGUAAUCUGACCGUGCAAAGGUAGCAUAAUCAUUAGUCUUUUAAUUGAAGGCUGGUAUGAACGGCUGAACAAGGGACCUCCUGUCUCUCCGAUUACAAUCCAAGUUAACUCUUAAGUGAAGAGGCUUAAAUAACCCUCAGGGACGAUAAGACCCUGUAAAACUUUACACCCCUUAAAUUUAAGUCUAAUUUAUUUAUGAAACCUUUUUUUCUUUAAGGCGUGUUUCAUUGGGGCGAUGAGAGUAUAAACCUAACUGCUUUACCCUAUAACAGUAAUUAUCUGAGCCCUCCCCUCGAUCCUUAAAAAAGAUUUAAGAAAAAGUUACUUCAGGGAUAACAGCGUUAUUUUUUUUUAGAGUCCUUAUCGACAAAAAAGUUUGCGACCUCGAUGUUGAAUUAAAAUCUCUCUAGAAUGCAGCAGUUUUAGUAGAAGGUCUGUUCGACCUUUAAAUUUUUACAUGAUUUGAGUUCAAACCGGUGCAAG